GGUGAACGCUGGCGGCGUGCUUAACACAUGCAAGUCGAACGGAAAGGCUCCUGCUUGCAGGGGUACUCGAGUGGCGAACGGGUGAGUAACACGUGGGUGAUCUGCCCUGCACUUCGGGAUAAGCCUGGGAAACUGGGUCUAAUACCGGAUAGGACGAUGGUUUGGAUGCCAUUGUGGAAAGUUUUUCGGUGUGGGAUGAGCUCGCGGCCUAUCAGCUUGUUGGUGGGGUAAUGGCCUACCAAGGCGUCGACGGGUAGCCGGCCUGAGAGGGUGUACGGCCACAUUGGGACUGAGAUACGGCCCAGACUCCUACGGGAGGCAGCAGUGGGGAAUAUUGCACAAUGGGCGCAAGCCUGAUGCAGCGACGCCGCGUGGGGGAUGACGGCCUUCGGGUUGUAAACUCCUUUCGCUAGGGACGAAGCGCAAGUGACGGUACCUGGAGAAGAAGCACCGGCUAACUACGUG
rnacentral:rRNA from 1 species